CGACGUGGUAACCUGCCUUGUANCCGGGGGAGUAACUAUUGGAAACGAUAGCUAAUACCGCNUAACAAUGGAUGACACAUGUCAUUUAUUUGAAAGGGGCAAUUGCUCCACUACAAGAUGGACCUGCGUUGUAUUAGCUAGUAGGUGAGGUAAUGGCUCACCUAGGCGACGAUACAUAGCCGACCUGAGAGGGUGAUCGGCCACCACUGGGACUGAGACACGGCCCAGACUCCUACGGGAGGCAGCAUG
rnacentral:rRNA from 1 species